rnacentral:rRNA from 1 species
CAAGGCAACGAUGCAUAGCCGACCUGAGAGGGUGAUCGGCCACACUGGAACUGAGACACGGUCCAGACUCCUACGGGAGGCAGCAGUAGGGAAUCUUCCGCAAUGGGCGAAAGCCUGACGGAGCAACGCCGCGUGAGUGAUGAAGGUCUUCGGAUCGUAAAACUCUGUUAUUAGGGAAGAACAUAUGUGUAAGUAACUGUGCACAUCUUGACGGUACCUAAUCAGAAAGCCACGGCUAACUACGUGCCAGCAGCCGCGGUAAUACGUAGGUGGCAAGCGUUAUCCGGAAUUAUUGGGCGUAAAGCGCGCGUAGGCGGUUUUUU